UCCUCCCUCUGGCUUCGUGCUUAACACAUGCAAGUCGAACGGAAAGGCCCUGCUUUUGUGGGGUGCUCGAGUGGCGAACGGGUGAGUAACACGUGAGUAACCUGCCCUUGACUUUGGGAUAACUUCAGGAAACUGGGGCUAAUACCGGAUAGGAGCUCCUGCUGCAUGGUGGGGGUUGGAAAGUUUCGGCGGUUGGGGAUGGACUCGCGGCUUAUCAGCUUGUUGGUGGGGUAGUGGCUUACCAAGGCUUUGACGGGUAGCCGGCCUGAGAGGGUGACCGGCCACAUUGGGACUGAGAUACGGCCCAGACUCCUACGAGAGGCAGCAGUGGGGAAUAUUGCACAAUGGGCGGAAGCCUGAUGCAGCAACGCCGCGUGCGGGAUGACGGCCUUCGGGUUGUAAACCGCUUUCGCCUGUGACGAAGCGUGAGUGACGGUAAUGGGUAAAGAAGCACCGGCUAACUACGUG
rnacentral:rRNA from 1 species